GCUAGGAUCAGCCGUGCAUUUUGGAAAGAUCGCUAUAGAUGCAGCGUGGGGAUCAGAUUGGAAGAGAAUCCGACUGGAUCCAAAAAGGUGGCCACCACAGUGGUCCAGGCGAGAGAGAAAGGCCUUAAUGGAGGCCGUGGAGGUGUUCUUUCAGAUGCCGGGUGACCGUCCGGUGCCACAAGCAGUGAGAGAGCCUUGAGAGUCUCGCUGGCAUGUCUUGAGGAAAACAAGAAUGAACUAGACCUCUUUAAAGUUGUGUUCAAGAUAGGAUUAAAAGUAAUAUUUCGUCCUUUGAAAACCUGGAA